GUUUGCGUAGGUGAACCUGCGGAUGGAUCAUUG
rnacentral:rRNA from 1 species